rnacentral:rRNA from 1 species
GUGCCAGCCGCCGCGGUAAUACGUAGGUGGCAAGCGUUAUCCGGAAUUAUUGGGCGUAAAGCGCGCGUAGGCGGUUUUUUAAGUCUGAUGUGAAAGCCCACGGCUCAACCGUGGAGGGUCAUUGGAAACUGGAAAACUUGAGUGCGGAAGAGGAAAGUGGAAUUCCAUGUGUAGCGGUGAAAUGCGCAGAGAUAUGGAGGAACACCAGUGGCGAAGGCGACUUUCUGGUCUGUAACUGACGCUGAUGUGCGAAAGCGUGGGGAUCAAACAGGAUUAGAUAC